rnacentral:rRNA from 1 species
AGUGAACGCUGGCGGUAGGCCUAACACAUGCAAGUCGAACGGCAGCACAGUAAGAUCUUGCUCUUACGGGUGGCGAGUGGCGGACGGGUGAGGAAUAAAUCGGAAUCUACUUUUUCGUGGGGGAUAACGUAGGGAAACUUACGCUAAUACCGCAUACCACCUACGGGUGAAUGCAGGGGAUCUUCGGACCUUGCGCGAUUGAAUGAGCCGAUGUCGGAUUAGCUAGUUGGCGGGGUAAAGGCCCACCAAGGCGACGAUCCGUAGCUGGUCUGAGAGGAUGAUCAGCCACACUGGAACUGAGCACCGGUCCAGACUCCUACGGGAGGCAGCAGUGGGGAAUAUUGGACAAUGGGCGAAAGCCUGAUCCAGCCAUACCGCGUGGGUGAAGAAGGCCUUCGGGUUGUAAAGCCCUUUUGUUGGGAAAGAAAAGCAGCAGGUUAAUACCCCGCUGUUCUGACGGUACCCAAAGAAUAAGCACCGGCUAACUUCGUG